AGCAACAUAUCUUUGGGGUGCAAGACGGGAGGUCUUGUAGAAAUGCAUACAGGAUACUGGAACACACGAAUUAACAGAAAUUCACCAUCCUCCUCCUCUAUUUUUUUCUAGACUAGAAGACACAUGGAACAGAGCAGAGGUGACCUACGUAAGGUCACACUUCUGGCUGGUGUCCUAAGAUUCAACCGAAUGCAGAGAACUCACUACCAUCAGGUCCCGUGAAGGAUAAAAUCACUGUGAACCUCUCAACUUGAAGUGUUCUUAAAAACACCAAAUGUCAUGAACCAAAAGUGGCGUUUUGCGCGUGACUCGAGUCAUCCUGCGCCUCACAUUCUAAGUGAAAGACCGAGCUAAUGAGUGACUGUCCAAGGCAGAACCAAUCAGCUGAUGUUCUCAUUUCUGGUACACAGGUAACAUUCGAGACUACCCUUACUGUUUAGUGGUACUGCUUUGGGAGAAAUUUAUACCUGGAUUUACUAUAUGGAAAUGCUGUAUCCGAAAUCUAAAAUGUGAGUAGAAUCCUGCAAUCCAACACUGAGUAAGAACCAGGAGGAUAAAGAUGAAGAUGAAGAUAAAGUGAAAACACUAAACGACUUUGAAGUGACAGCCACUGGGGCUAAUGGGACAUGAGGAAAACAUCACUCUGCAUGAGAAGAAAGGAGAACCUUUUUAAGUACUGGAGAAGAAAUGCAACAAAACAGAAAAGAUCAGUGAAACUUGAAGCUUUUUUUUUUUAAAGAUUAAAGCGAACAAACUUUUACCUAGAUUAGUAAGAGGGAAGAGUCAAAUAAGCAAUUGACAUCAUAAAAUGAAGAAGACGUCACAGUUAGUACUGCAGAAUCACAAAGCCUAAGAGACUGGGGUGAGCAGGAUCUUCAACAAGCCGAACAACCUAGAAGAGAUGGACAGGUUCCUCAGAACGACAGCCUAACAGGAUGGAGCCACAGACAGAGACUGACGGAUUAGUAACCAGUGUGGAGAUGGAAGUAUCUCCAGGACCUCACCCCGGCUUCCCAAUGGUUCCCUGGUUCUUGUGAUCUCAACUGACCUAUUGUAGAUGCUAUAGGGAGGCAAGAUGGCGUCCAAAGCUGAUUAUGAAGGAGGAGGUUCAUCCUCAGCAACCUUCAAAGAACUGUGAGAACUAACUGUUGAUCUGAAAGCAACCAUGAUUUGCUACAGAGGUGCGAGCUUGCACAGAGACCUGUGAAAUCCCACAGAACACAGGAAGUGUCUAAUUCCGCUGGAUCGGGCUGGUGUCAAGGCAGCUGACAGCUUCAGAGCCAAGAGCCUCCAGAAUCCUUUUUGGUAAGGAAUGUCAGCUACAAGGGGAAUCCCUACCUCACCAUCUACACAGAGUUCAAAGGAAAUGCAGAUUUAAUCAUUUGGUUUCUGUGUGACUUUCAAGUCAAAGUGAAACUAGAAUGUGAAUAUCAGAGCGUGUGAACCUUUUUGGUACGAAGCCUGGGUUCCCCUCUUACUGCUGCGGUGUGUAGAGGAUUGUGCAAUGUAAUAGCAGCAUCCAAGAUACACAGGGUCUCUGCUUCGACUCUCAAGAUGACUGCUGAUGCUCGGAGCUGAGCUGCAGAGUGCAGCAGCUCAUUGUUUGGGCCAGGAGUGUGCACGUGAAAAAUGACUCGCCGCACACUCUGCUUCCAUUCUGGUGCUCCGGGAAUGGAUUGACUUCAAAGAACUCUUUAAAAAUUAAAGUUAGGGGGACUGGAGAGAUGGCUCACUGGUUGAGAUUACUGACCGCUCUUCCAGAGGAGCCAGGUUCAAUUCCCAGCACCUAUAUGGCAGUUCAUAACUGUCUGUAACUCCAAGAUCUGACACCCUGAUGCAGACAUACAUGCAAACAAAACACCAAUGCACAUGAAAUAAAACUAAACUUAGAAUGCCACCUAGCAGUAGUGAAACUAAGUUCAAUCCCCAGAGCCAUUAAAUAAAUAUAAUGCA
rnacentral:lncRNA from 1 species